CCCCGCGCCCUGCUCCGCGCGCCGCGCAUGGGCCGCGAACUCUGGCACAAACGCUCCACGCAGCCGCGGCUCCGGGUUUUUUUUUUUUCCCCUUUUAUUUUUCAUUUUUGUAUCCCCUUUUAUUCUUCAUUUCUUUAUCCCCUUUGCCCUCGCAAAGCACGACGUCCUGUUGCAGGUGGCCGCGCCCCAGAGGCGGCAGCGGAGCGCGAGGGAAUGCCGCCUAGCCGCCGGGAAGUGCGCGCACCGGGGCGAACCUCGGACUGCUGCUUGCCCGCCGGCUCGGAGGGCGCGUCCUCGCAGGUGUGAAAAUCGAGUUCUAGCUCCUGGAAGGAAACAACAACAGGAGAUGCUCGUUAAAGGCACGUCGCCCGGGGUCGCCUUCGCCAGCUGCCAGCCUGCUUCGGGCACACCAUUAUUGACAUCCCCGCUCUUCGCGCCUCCCCGUCAGGGCCUCGCACGGUGCGGGCGGCUGCGGGAGUGGGGCGGCGGCUGUGCGGGGCAGCCGCUGCUGGGCUGCGCUGGGCAGCUCCGGGCUGGGAUGCCCGAGCCAGCGGCAGGGCUGCUUUCGCCGAAAAACACUGCCUGAUCUUGGCGCUAGGGCCGGCUGCGCGUGUGAACCCUCCGCGUAGCUUCUAAACCACUUAUCACCUUUGCAACCGUGACACAAUCUUCAGCGUCGGUGAAUCACUAUACAAGUGACUUUCAGUCCUACGGAUCUGCAAGGCGCUGGGAAGGGUCGGGUAGAGCUCUGGCAGCAGCCGCCCGGGCUCCUGCUCUCCGUCCCUGCCAGUCCCAGCUUCAGCGAAGCACAUUUUAGGAAGGUCGCUGGAGGAGAGCUGCACAUAACUUCACAGUCCGGUUUCACAGGUACCGGUUUACUAAACUAGCCAACUCCCGGCUUGCUAACCGAGAUUUUCAGAAAGUAGCUGCAGGUGGUCAAGGGUGAAAACGUGGAGGCAGUGCCGUCCCGACAGUUUCCCUCCGAUGCCACCAGAGCAAGCACCAACCUCUUGUGUAAAGACUGUGUCUGGAUCCAAAACGUUUUGUAGAUCCUCUUGUAUCUUGUCGUGGUUACAGAGGCUGAAAUUGUAGGUGGAUCCCCGCGGUGAGAAGGCGAUCUGAAGAAAGAUGAUCAAGCUACAAAGGACUGUGUAAGAAAAAGCCAAAGGUUAAUUAUCCUGCACCGCUACGUGACCCGACAAGGCACGGAAGGCAGCUGAAGAGAGGGAUGCCCGUGCUUCAGAAUCACUAGAGAAACUGGUUGGUUACCGUUGUGAUUAUUCAUGGUGUCUUUACACGUUGUUUUUCUCCUCCCGGGCUUCAGAUCGUUGCUGGCUUCAUAUAUGUACCUGUACGCCUACGGAAAUAAAGGUUUCCAAUUCCAUAACCGGGGCUCAUUUGGACGUCUGUUGCAUCUCUUUCCAGAACUGUAAAUAAUUAUUACUCAGUCUUGAAGUUGUGUCACUGACUCGAAAAUAAAACCGAGAUAACGAAAAAUAAUCAAAGGCAUCAUCCAAACCCCAACCAAACCAAAACAAAACACAAAAGCUUUGCAACAGACAAUCUUGCUUGAAACAAGUGUGAGUAGCCCUCCCCAUAACCACGUGGGGUGCAACUUCAGCGGGAACUGUUGCAGUAAAACCCUAUUUUCUCUUGAAGUGAGAAAAAAAUGCUUCGGGGCACCUGCAGCGGGUCUACAGGGGGUGGGCGUGCAUACCCUCCAUACUGAGAUUGCAGGGACGUCUCCGGUGCAUCAUUUUAACACGUUAGUUCGGAAGAGAGUGGAGCACAGUGCUAGUUUCUCCAUCCCCGUAUACAGUUGCGGGCUGUUUUACUCUGGAAGGUGGAAGUUUUAUCCUGCAAACCCCUUUCCCCGUGGGAGCCCCUUCGCUUUCUUAGGCUUGCUUAGGGAGUGUGGGCGCGGAGCGCCCGGCCGCGUGGACAGCCUGGCUGACACCCUGCCCUGGCACCGGGCUGCAGGGACAUCGCAAGGCAGGCUGUCCCGGGCACAGGGUAUCGGGAUGGGGGGACGUGGGGGGCCAGUCUACCCCGGGCGCUGGCCACCGAGGUGCCGGGCCGAGAGGAGUCAUGGCCCCGCUUCUCCCUCGCUCCCCGGAGCCCUUCUCCGGCCGGCACCGACGCCUUUGUCACGUUCGGCACCAGCUGUUCCGCGGUCCUGCUGAAGUGUUUCACGGAAAGCGCCGCGGGAGUCUCUGCGGAAGCCCCGGCCGGGGGCGUGCUCGUUUUCGGGGAAUGCUCCCUGCGGCAUGAGUCAUGAGGGAAACCCUGGAAGGCUGCCGCGAGACAGCCGCCUCUCGGGCCGGCUGAGCUGGGGACCAGCCAGAGCAGCUGAGUCAUCGGUGAGUGCCUGUCCGCUUGAGUGGGUUUCUGCCCUGCUCUCCUCCUGGAUCUCUCCCUUUUCUCUGUUACUUCUCGUCCUGCGCCUCGCAGCCUGGUCGGGAGCUGCCUCUCGCUCCUCCGGGGACUCCGGGCGAACAGCCAGAGGCGGCCGCAGCGCCCGGAGCUGAGAGCUGACAGCUCCCGGUCUCUGCUUCAGAGCGCGGCCGCAGCCCUGUGAAUGUGUGUAUGAGUCUGGCUUUGCGUGUGUGCGUGUGUAUACAUCUGAUUCCAUCCCUAACUGACGUUCCAAAAUCGAUGCCUUAAUAGCUGUUGCACUGAUGGAGAUGCAUCUGCAAAGCGUCUACAAAGCUGGAGACGAGCUCGGGUAGCCCUCGAGAGAACUGCACAGGAUGCUUACCUGCACAGCUCUCACAGUGUUACCAAAUUCCAGUUUCCUAAAGGACGUCUUGUUCUCAUAUUCUCAUAUUUCUCUAAUCUUUCUCCAAAGGCUUUUGUUCGAAGUUGCUACUGGGUUUCAUGGAAGUUAUUACGUUGAUAAAAAUAUGAAUCUGUUAAACAGCUUUGUGUUUCUCUGCACAGUUGGAGGUGCACCAUAGCAUAAAGGUCACCUUAGGUGAGCUUUAUUGUACACCAGACAACCAGCAUCAUAACCAAUGAAAGGUCUAUCUGGGCCAUGAAUCCAGUGUAAUACUAAUUUCAGGUCUAGGAAGUGUUAUUUUUUGCUUUUCAUUUAUCUUUAGUAAGCAGCACGCAACCUGUAUGAAUAGCUAAAUAAAUAAGUGUUUAUUUGCCCCUACCAAACAGGACAUAGUAAACUUGUGUGUAGUUAAAGGGAACAAUUAUGUUUUCAUGCAAAUAACAAUGGAUUGAAAUUCUUUUCCAUCACUGGUAGUAUGUACAUGCUUGUAUUUCUGAAGCUGUGUCUCCAAAGAUAGAACAAAGUUGCAAAAGACACUGGCAAUAUUAUACUCAGAUUAGCAAAUGGAAAAAAUGUGAUUUUUAAAGGGAGCAGAAAUACAUGUGUCUGUAAAAGACAAUUUGGCAUUGAAAACGUGCAUGUAAGUUCAAAUGAAAGUCUAUUAGGAAAAAGGGAAUUAGCUUCUUCUUUACCCACUUUUUCCUUUUUUUGUGUGGAACAUUUCUGUAAAUAAAUAAUAACUCUCAAACA